UCAGGAAUGUGGUCCUCGUUUUACACUCAGAAAUUAACAGUCUUUUCCAUCCUUUUGGUGAAAUGUCCUCUACUGGUAACACAUGUCCUUUAACGUGAACAACUUAACUGGACCAAUCCCUGCCUUCUUGGGAAACAUUAGCACUCUAAAAUACUUGAACCUUGAGACUAACAUGUUUUUCUAGAACUGUUCCUCCUGACCUUGGGAAGUUGGUUAACUUGCAGAAUCUGUAAGCUCCUUCUUUUCAACCACAAUUUGUUUUACUUUUUUUGUUUUUAUUUGAAGUAUUAAGUAGUUGAAUAAGCAACUACCAACUGAUUAGUUGGCUCUGGUGUCUACAACAUUAUUAGUACAAACAAUCUCACAGGAGUAUUGCAUGUACGUGUCUAAUUCUGACCUCGAAAAGACCAUAUUAAGGACGUUGGCCAAAGGUGCAGCAACAUCUCUAAGCUUUACAGGUGAUUAAUUACUUGUACUUGUGCUAAUUUUUUAUUUUUAUGUAUUAGAAUGAAGUUUACUGUUGGUAUAUAUAAUUAAGCAAUGAUAAUUGUUAAUAGUUGGACUGUUUUUAGUGUUUGUAUUAAGAAUUUCAUGAUGAUUAUGCUGAUCGGCUAUUGACCAUUGAAGCCGAUCAGCAUAGUUGGUCAAUCUUUUGUUCCUUUUGUGCUUUGAAUUGUAGGAGUUCUAUACAUUGAAGAAACCAGCUAUUCUUAACAAUAAAAGUGUUGUACAAGUAAGUGAUACCUCCUCAGUCAUUUUCUAAUAUUUAUUUUAACAAAGCAAUGUUGGUACUUUCUCAUUUUCUUAAAUCUCCUCAAUUAUGGCUUCUAAGCUAGAAGUUCUAAAUUCUGGGUAUGUUUAAUGCAGGGUUGGUAAACCUGAGAGGAAGAAGUCUCAGAGUUGGUAUGCAUUUUUAACAUCUGAACCAUCAUCAUAUUCUAACAUAUACUUGUGUCUAUAUUUACUAGCUAAUGCAAGCAGACAUUUGCAUUCUUUCUGUGCCUAGUUCAGUUUUAAUAUUUUGGUAACAGUUAUUCGAUAUAUGUGAUUUUAGAUUUGAGCUGUUCACAUUUGCAUUCUAAAGCUCAAAUAUUUAUAAAUUGAUCCACAUGUUUUAUAAUUUUUUUUUUCUAUAUCAUUUACAUUUGAGUUGCAUAUUCUGCAUUACCUGUCGUCUGGCUUGCCUCUACUCAUUCAUAUGGAUUGAGGGAAGAUGAAUUGUGAAAAUGUCAUUUUAUCUUUUAACAGUACUUUUAAGUUUA